AUUGAACGCUGGCGGCGGGCCUAACACAUGCAAGUCGAGCGGAUGAAGCCAGCUUGCUCCUGGAUUCAGCGGCGGACGGGUGAGUAAUACCUAGGAAUCUGCCUGGUAUUGCGGUAUAACGUCCGGAAACGAGCGCUGAUACCGCCUACGUCCUGAGGGAGAAAGUGGGGGGUCUUCGGACCGCACGCUAUCAUAUGAGCCUAGGGCGGAUUAGCUAGUUGGUGGGGUAAAGGCCUACCAAGGCGAGGAUCCGUAACUGGUCUGAGAGGAUGAUCAGUCAGACUGGAAGGGUGACAGGGUCCAGAUUGAUUCGGGAGGCAGCCGUGGGGAAUCGGGGACCAUGGGUGAAAGAUUGAUCAAGAUAUGCCGCGUGUGUGAAGAAGGUCUUCGGAUUGUAAAGCACUUUAAGUUGGGAGGAAGGGCAGUAAGCUAAUACCUUGCUGUUUUGACGUGAAAAACAGAAUGAGCCACCGGUAACUUCGUG
rnacentral:rRNA from 1 species